AACUUUUAACAACGGAUCUCUUGGUUCUCGCAUCGAUGAAGAACGUGGCAAAGUGCGAUAACUAGUGUGAAUUGCAUAUUCAGUGAAUCAUCGAGUCUUUGAACGCAUCUUGCGGUCAUUGGUAUUCCAAUGACCACGCCUGUUUCAGUA
rnacentral:rRNA from 1 species